GGCUGGGAACCAAACAGCCCCUCUCCUGGCUACCUAUGGGGUGGGUCUCCACCCUUCUGGCUGCCGACGAGGCUGCCGGACAAGAGAGAGGAGGGAAACCUUGGGUGACGGCUAGUGCUACUGCUAGGAAAAGGCGACAGUGGACACAAGUAGUAGAAGCGUCCGGUUCCCCCCAACACAUCAGUUGGUCCACCUGGCCCCCCUGGGUGACUAGAAACAGCGGAGCAAAGCUAGCAGACACGCACAAGAGACAGCCAUGUGGGGCCCGGGAUGCAGACUGUGCGUGCAUCCUUCAUCCUCCUCCACCACCACUCCUCCCCUCCUGUUUCCGCUCCGCUCCGCCCCCGGUAAACCCCAUCCCGUCCCGAUCCCCUCCCCUCCCCUCCCCGGAGGAAUCUUUGCUCCCUCCCACUUAUAUAAACCCCUCUCCGCCACUCCACUCUCCCAGAUCUACAUCCUCCCUCCACCCCGUCUCGCCGGCCGCCCGGCCGCCCCCCAAUCGUGCGUCGGACGAGGCCACGGCGAUGGAUCUCCUCUCGGACGCCCAGCCCCAGUGGCUCCUCGCCGGCGCCGCGCUGCUGCUCGCCACCGUCGCCUUCCUCAGGGUCCUCCUCGGCUCCGGCGGCCGCGGCAAGCGGGCGCCGCCGACGAUCCCGGGGGCGCCCGUCGUGGGCGGGCUCCUGCGCUUCCUGCGGGGCCCCAUCCCGCUCAUCCGGGCCGAGUACGCCCGCCUCGGCCCCGUCUUCACCGUCCCCAUCCUCACCCGCCGGAUCACCUUCCUCAUCGGCCCCGACGUCUCGGCGCACUUCUUCAAGAGCAACGAGUCCGACAUGAGCCAGCAGGAGGUCUACCGCUUCAACGUCCCCACCUUCGGCCCCGGGGUCGUCUUCGACGUCGACUACCAGGUCAGGCAGGAGCAGUUCAGGUUCUUCACCGAGGCGCUCAGGGCCAACAAGCUCCGCAGCUACGUCGACCAGAUGGUUGCCGAGGCCGAGGAGUACUUCUCAAAGUGGGGAGAAAGCGGCACUGUGGAUCUGAAGUAUGAACUGGAGCACCUCAUCAUACUGACUGCUAGCCGAUGCUUGUUGGGAAGGGAAGUGCGAGAAAAAUUGUUUGAUGAUGUUUCUGCUCUCUUCCAUGAUCUUGACAAUGGGAUGCAGCCAAUCAGUGUCAUCUUUCCCUACCUCCCAAUCCCUGCACACCGUCGCCGUGACCAGGCACGGACACGUUUGGCGGAGAUCUUUGCCACGAUCAUCAAGUCCCGCAAGGCCUCUGGACAGUCCGAGGAAGACAUGCUGCAGUGCUUCAUUGAUUCCAAGUACAAGAAUGGCCGCCAGACCACAGAAAGUGAGGUGACUGGGCUACUUAUUGCAGCCCUGUUUGCUGGACAGCACACUAGCUCGAUCACCUCAACCUGGACUGGGGCCUACCUGCUUAAGUUCCAGCAGUACUUUGCAGAGGCUGUUGAGGAGCAGAAGGAGGUCAUGAAGAGGCAUGGUGACAAGAUCGAUCACGACAUAUUGGCAGAGAUGGAUGUCCUCUACCGGUGCAUCAAGGAGGCGCUCCGGCUCCACCCGCCGCUGAUCAUGCUGCUUCGCCAAUCACACUCUGACUUCAGCGUGACCACGAGGGAAGGCAAAGAGUUUGAUAUCCCCAAGGGCCACAUCGUCGCAACAUCUCCUGCUUUCGCUAACAGGCUCCCCCAUAUCUUCAAGAACCCGGACUCGUAUGACCCUGACCGGUUUGCAGCUGGGAGGGAGGAGGACAAGGUUGCGGGUGCCUUCUCGUACAUCUCCUUUGGGGGUGGCAGGCACGGGUGCCUGGGUGAGCCCUUCGCGUACCUGCAGAUCAAGGCGAUAUGGACACACCUCCUGAGGAACUUUGAGUUUGAGCUGGUCUCACCGUUCCCAGAGAACGACUGGAAUGCGAUGGUCGUCGGCAUCAAGGGCGAGGUGAUGGUCAGCUACAAGCGGCGGAAGCUUGUCGUCGACAACUAGAGAGCGGGUGGUCCCAUAGGGGGUGUUUGCUUCUGUAUUUGUUCCAUUUAAGUUUUUUCUAUUCGCACGCCAACCUGUAGGGUAUCUAUCUUGCCAUUGUUUUAGGGUACUUUGAUUUGCUUCCAGUGAUUAUUUAGACGUGUAGCAUCUGAGUGUUGUUUCUCUCUCCUUUCAUCUUUGCUGCUGUCCAUUCUCUUAGACGGGUUCAGACAUAAAAUGUGAACAGACAACCCUAUGUAAGGAACACAACAACUGUGACUGAGUUCAUUCAAAAUGCAGUUCUUGCUGCAAUGGUUUCUUGU
rnacentral:rRNA from 1 species